rnacentral:rRNA from 1 species
AGCCUAUAUACCGCCGUCGUCAGCUUACCUCUUAAGAGAAUUAUAGUAAGCAAAAUUAGUAUAACCCAAAACGUCAGGUCGAGGUGUAGCAUAUGAAUUGGAAAGAAAUGGGCUACAUUCUCUAUAAUAGAAGAUACGGACAAUAAAUUGAAAUAUAGAUUUGAAGAAGGAUUUAGAAGUAAGCUGAAAAUAGAGCAUUCAACUGAAACCGGCCAUAAAGCGCGCACACACCGCCCGUCACUCUCCCCGGACAAAACAAACAAAUAAAUAAUAAAUUAAAUAUAUAAAGGGGAGGCAAGUCGUAACAUGGUAAGUGUACCGGAAGGUGUACUUGGAAAAA